rnacentral:rRNA from 1 species
GGGGGGGGGGGGGGGGGGGGGGGGGGGGGGGGGGGGGGGCGGGGGGGGCGGGCGGGGGUGGGGUGCUGGAGUGGCGAACGGGUGGGUGGCGGGGGGGUACCCUGCCCUGGGCUGUGGGGUAGCUUGGGGACACUGGGGCUAGUCCCGGAGCGGCGCUCGUGCUGCGUGGUGGGGGUUGGGACGCUUCGGCGGUGGGGGCUGGGCUCGCGCCAUAUCCGAUUGUUGGUGGGGUAGUGGCUUACCAAGGCUUUGACGUUGAGCCGGCCUGAGAGGGUGACCGGCCACCUUGGGACUGGGAUACGGCCCAGACUCCUACGGGAGGCAGCAGUGGGGAAUAUUGCACAAUGGGCGGAAGCCUGAUGCAGCAACGCCGCGUGCGGGAUGACGGCCUUCGGGUUGUAAACCGCUUUCGCCUGUGACGAAGCGUGAGUGACGGUAAUGGGUAAAGAAGCACCGGCUAACUACGUG